UCAAAAUAGAACCACAGAGCUGAGCCUGGUCAACCCAAAGAAACAGAACAGGCAAAAUAUGAUUCAAUGAUUUGGUGUGUGAUGCCAGAAACUCCCUAGGGUAAUUCUAACUAGUAGGUCCUCAAAUUAAAUUUCAGUCAAGUCCAUUUGCCAGAAUUAAUCACAUGGUCCUGCCUAACUGCAAGAAGGGCAGGGUACGCAGGAAGAUGAAAGGAACCAGAU